rnacentral:rRNA from 1 species
CCUACGGGAGGCAGCAGUAGGGAAUCUUCCACAAUGGACGCAAGUCUGAUGGAGCAACGCCGCGUGAGUGAAGAAGGGUUUCGCCUCGUAAAGCUCUGUUGUUAAAGAAGAACGUGGGUGAGAGUAACUGUUCACCCAGUGACGGUAUUUAACCAGAAAGCCACGGCUAACUACGUGCCAGCAGCCGCGGUAAU